GGCAGACGGGUGAGUAACAUGUGGGUAUCUGCCCUUUGGCCUGGAAUAACACGAGGAAACUUGUGCUAAUACCGGAUAAGUCUUUACGGAGAAAGCUUUAUGCACCAUUGGAUGAGCCCGCACUUGAUUAGUUUGUUGGUGGGGUAAUGGCCUACCAAGACUGUGAUCAAUAGCUGAUUUGAGAGGAUGAUCAGCCACAUUGGGACUGAGACACGGCCCAAACUCCUACGGGAGGCAGCAGUGGGGAAUCUUGCACAAUGGAGGAAACUCUGAUGCAGCGAUGCCGCGUGAGUGAAGAAGGCCCUUGGGUUGUAAAGCUCUUUCGUCGGGGAAGAAAAUGACUGUACCCGAAUAAGAAGGUCCGGCUAACUUCGUGCCAGCAGCCGCGGUAAUACGAAGGGACCUAGCGUAGUUCGGAAUUACUGGGCUUAAAGAGUUCGUAGGUGGUUGAAAAAGUUAGUGGUGAAAUCCCAGAGCUUAACUCUGGAACUGCCAUUAAAACUUUUCAGCUAGAGUAUGAUAGAGGAAAGCAGAAUUUCUAGUGUAGAGGUGAAAUUCGUAGAUAUUAGAAAGAAUACCAAUUGCGAAGGCAGCUUUCUGGAUCAUUACUGACACUGAGGAACGAAAGCAUGGGUAGCGAAGAGGAUUAGAUACCCUCGUAGUCCAUGCCG
rnacentral:rRNA from 1 species